GAUGAAGAACGCAGCGAAAUGCGAUACGUAAUGUGAAUUGCAGAAUUCAGUGAAUCAUCGAAUCUUUGAACGCAUAUUGCGCUCUUUGGUAUUCCGAAGAGCAUGCUUGUUUGAGUAUCAGUAAACACCUCAACCUCUUCUUGAUUUUUCAAAAGGAGGGUGGACUUGAGCUAUCCCAACAACCUUUACCGGUCGGCGGGCGGCUUGAAAUGCAGGUGCAGCUGGACUUUUAUCUGUGCUAAAAGCAUAUCUAUUUAGUCCUCGUCAAACAGGAUUAUUACUUUUGCUGCAGCUAACAUAAAGGAUAAUUGUCCUCUUUGCUGACUGAUGCAGGAUUUUACGACACUUUAUGUGUUGUUAAACUCGAUCUCAAAUCAAGUAAGACUACCCGCUGAACUUAAGCAUAUCAAUAAGCGGAGGA
rnacentral:misc_RNA from 1 species